rnacentral:rRNA from 1 species
GACGAACGCUGGCGGCGUGCCUAACACAUGCAAGUCGAGCGGGGAGAAGAAUUCGUUUUUCUCUUUAGCGGCGGACGGGUGAGUAACACGUGGGUAACCUGCCUCAAAGAGGGGGAUAGCCUUCCGAAAGGAAGAUUAAUACCGCAUAAUAUCAGGAAGCUGCAUGGCAUUCUGAUUAAAGGAGCAAUCCGCUUUGAGAUGGACCCGCGGCGCAUUAGCUAGUUGGUGAGGUAACGGCCCACCAAGGCGACGAUGCGUAGCCGACCUGAGAGGGUGAUCGGCCACAGUGGAACUGAGACACGGUCCAGACUCCUACGGGAGGCAGCAGUGGGGAAUAUUGCACAAUGGGGGAAACCCUGAUGCAGCAACGCCGCGUGAGUGAUGAAGGCCUUCGGGUCGUAAAGCUCUUUGAUCAGGGACGAUAAUGACGGUACCUGAAAAACAAGCCACGGCUAACUACGUGCCAGCCGCCGCAGUAAUAC